AUUGAACGCUGGCGGCAGGCCUAACACAUGCUAGUCGAACGAGUGGCGGACGGGUGAGUAAUGUCUGGGAAACUGCCCGCUGGAGGGGGAUAACUACUGGAAACGGUAGCUAAUACCGCAUACCAUCGGAUGUGCCCAGAUUGGAUUAGCUAGUAGGUGGGGUAAUGGCUCACCUAGGCGACGAUCCCUAGCUGGGCUGAGAGGAUGACCAGCCACACGGGAACUGAGACACGGUCCAGACUCAUACGGGAGGCAGCAGUGGGGAAUAUUGCACAAGGGGCGAAAGCCUGAUGCAGCCAUGCCGCGUGUAUGAAGAAGGCCUUCGGGUUGUAAAGGACUUUCAGCGAGUAGGCGUUACUCGCAGAAGAAGCACCGGCUAACUCCGUGCCAGCAGCCGCGGUAAUAC
rnacentral:rRNA from 1 species